GCCUGCAUUUAUUUUACUCAUAGGUGUCAAGAUUCCAUUUUCCAUGUUGAAGUUAUUUCAAGUACCUUUAACCAUACUACAAGAAAUACAGUAGUAUGGAGACCCCAUAGGAAAUGUAUAAAUUGCCCUGCCCAAAAACAAUACAGUUAAAAGUCAGAACAAAGAAAAGCUGGUGUGAACCCCAAAUAUCUGAGGGAGGUCUCAGUUAAUUUAGAAAGUUUAUUUUGACAAAGUGAGGACAUGCACACAUGACACAGCCUCAGAAGGUCCUGACGACAUUUCCCCUAGGUGGUCAGAGCACAGUUUGAUUUUAUACAUUUUCGGGAGACAUGAGACAUCAAUCAACAUAUGUAAUAUGAACAUUGGUUCCAUCUUGAAGCAAAGGAGGGACAACUUGAAGUGGGGAGGGGGCUUCCAGGUCAUCGGUAGAAAAGAGACAAAUGGUUGCAUUAUUUUGAGUUUCUGAUUAGCCUCUCCAAAGAAGGCAAUCAGAUAUGCAUUUAUCUCAGUGAGCAGAGGGGCGACUUUGUAUAGAAUAUGAGGCAGGUUUGCCCUAAACAGUUCCUAGCUUGAUUUUCCCUUUAGCUUAGUGAUUUUGGGGCCCCAAGAUUUAUUUUCUUUUCAAACAAGAUUCUCUAAUUCUAGUUUAUUUGUUAGAUCCUAUGUAUUUGGCUAUUCUCAUCUCUUGUACAAGUGAGGUUCACUAGUCCGAACCUCUUUACUUUCCAUUUUGGCGUCUUUUGGCAAGGUCACACUGAGUUUAUACAGUGUACCUGUGUCUAGGUUCAUGGCUUUCCAAGUAUGCCAUCAUAAAAUAGCUUGUACUAUUUUACUGGGAAAUUAAACCCAGGACUAUAAAUCAAAUUCUUUGUUGCUCUUCCUGGAUCAUUUUUGCUUUUUUUUUUUUUUUUUUUUUUUUGUGAGACAGAGUCUUGCUCUGUUGCCCAGGCUGGAGUACAGUGGCACGAUCUUGGCUCACUGCAACCUCCACCUUCCAGGUUUGAGCAAUUCUCCUGUCUUAGCCUUCUGAGUAGCUGGGACUGCAGGCAUGAGCCACCACACCCAUCUAAUUUUUGUACUUUUAGUAGAGACAGGGUUUCACCAUGUUGCCCAGGCUUGUCUCGAACACCUGAUCUCAGGUGAUUCACCCACCUCAGACUCCCAAAGUGCUGGGAUUAUAGGCGUGAGCCACCACACCUGACCUUCUUUAUUUGACAUCAUAUGUGAUUCCAGCUCAAAUUAAAUUGAGAAUUAAAACAGAUAGUGAAUGUAGCCCUUUAUAUAGAAAAACAAAGUUCAAGUCUCUAUAGUUGUAGCUAACAAGCAGUUGAAAUGUCAGUCUGCUUUUUCCUGAGCAAUUAUGAUGUAACUAAGGCACUAAAUCUGCCGUAUUUGUGGUGGUAGAGGCAGGAGAAGUCAUUGAAAUGCAUCUUUAGUUAUGAAUCUCAUUGUAAAAAGUUGUUUUUGUUCUUCCUUAGACUCUGUCUUUAAAUAUGUAAAAAGGCUGUAGUUAGCCCAUGUUGUUGUCAUGGGAUCCAUAAUUUAGCUAGAGCUCACCAGUAGUAAGGGACACAAUAUGGCUCAGGAAGUACUAGUAGAAACAGAACAGGACUCAUGGAGGAGAAAAAGCUGUAUGGGUGGACUAGGACAUCGGCCUGCACCAGGAGAAGAAAGACAACACCAACUGCAGGGUUUGGGCAAGACAAAUAAUGUCCUUGUGCAGUUUGCUAGUCCAUGUAUAAGAUUUUCUGUAAGAACUGAGCAAAUAGAGGAAUCCAUGACACUUACUGCUUGCCUAUUUCCUGGGUGACGUUUGUUGUGUACAUGCUGCCUGUUGCUUUUCAAAGCAAACCAGAAAAGUGAGGAUGUUUGCCAAGAACAAAGGUGUGAUGGACUUCUUUGGAAAUGCUUCCUGGAGAAGAGUUAUUUACUGUUAGUGGUUACGUCCAUUCCUCCCCUAUUGCAGUCUGUUCUGUUGAGGGUUGGCAGGAUACAAACAAAGUCUAUGAUUCUUUCCUCUCUUCAAUGUUCCAUUCCUGGAGAGGAAACUCCGCCAAUGAUGAGGUCAUGAUACCAUCUGACCAUAGAGGAAUUCAACUCCAGAUUCCUGUUUCUCCAGAUUCCUUCCUAUGAUGAACCAGUUUAGGUUAUUCACACACAUUUACCUGAGGUUGGGUUCUUCAGAAACAUAACCUGAAGUGAAGAUUCAUGUGCAAGUUCCCAGGAAAAGCCAGUACAGAAAUGAGGGGAGUGGAAGAAGCAAAGCAAGGGGGCAAUUUCAGGCAAAGUUCUGGGGAAGGUAGCUUUAAUUUUAUCCUAGAAGGAGACUCAGGA
rnacentral:lncRNA from 1 species